AUGCGGAACGGAACCGAGUGAGGAAGCCCCGGUUACUUCCGGGCCACAACCCGGGUAAUACCGAAGGGGGCGAGGGUUGUCCGAAUUACUGGGCGGAAAAGGGGGGGAAGGGGUUUGUUAAGGCUGGGGGGGAAACCCCAUGCUUCACCCAUGGGUUGCCUUUGAAACUUGCUUGAUUUGAGUGCUGAAAAGGCAAGGGAAUUCCCCCGUGUAGCGGGAAAUUGCGAAAAAAUGUGGAGGAAUACCAGUGGCGAAGGCGCCUUGUUGGACAGUGCUUGACCU
rnacentral:rRNA from 1 species